rnacentral:lncRNA from 1 species
GGUUUUGGAUGAGUGAAAAAUCAAAGAGAGAAAAAAGUUCUCCCUCAUUCCACCACUAUAUCAUUCUCUUAAUCAAUCUUCAGCUUCGAAAGAGUUCGAGAGACUCAAGAGGUGUGCAUAUUAGCCAUCAAAAAGAUCUCUAUGCGAGCUAGCACUCCUGAGGAGAUUGAUCAAUGCCAGGGCUUCAUGUGGACAUUUCGUAGAGGCUGGACAUCUUAUGCGGCUGCGAGCAACUAGCAGGACC